rnacentral:rRNA from 1 species
UACGUAGGGUGCGAGCGUUGCCCGGAUUUAUUGGGCGUAAAGGGCGCGUAGGCGGCUCUGCACGUCCGUUGUGAAAUCGCCCGGCUCAACUGGGCGGGGUCAGCGGAUACGGCAGAGCUCGAGCAAGCUAGGGGGCAAUGGAAUUCCCGGUGUAGCGGUGAAAUGCGCAGAUAUCGGGAGGAACACCGGUGGCGAAGGCGGUUCUCUGGGCCUUACCUGACGCUGAGGAGCGAAAGCGUGGGGAGCGAACAGG